rnacentral:rRNA from 1 species
UACGUAGGGGCAAGCGUUGUCCGGAUUUAUUGGGCGUAAAGAGCGUGUAGGCGGCCAUACAGGUCAGCUGUGAAAACUCGAGGCUCAACCUCGAGACGUCGGUUGAAACCGUAUGGCUAGAGUCCGGAAGAGGAGAGUGGAAUUCCCGGUCGUAGCGGUGAAAUGCGCAGAUAUCGGGAAGAACACCCGUGGCGGAGGCGGCUCUCUCGGGACGGUACUGACGCUGAGACGCGAAAGCGUG